rnacentral:rRNA from 1 species
UGGAGGAAAGUAGGGGAUCGUAAGACCUUGUGCUUUUGGAGCGGCCGAUGCCUGAUUAGCUAGUUGGUAAGGUAAAGGCUUACCAAGGCUUCGAUCAGUAGUUGGUCUGAGAGGACGACCAGCCACACUGGGACUGAGACACGGCCCAGACUCCUACGGGAGGCAGCAGUGGGGAAUUUUGGACAAUGGGGGAAACCCUGAUCCAGCCAUGCCGCGUGAGUGAAGAAGGCCUUCGGGUUGUAAAGCUCUUCCAGUUGAGAAGAAAAGAUUACGACUAAUAAUCGUGAUUCAUGACGGUAUCAACAGAAGAAGCACCGGCUAACUACGUGCCAGCAGCCGCGGUAAUACGUAGGGUGCAGGCGUUAAUCGGAAUUACUGGGCGUAAAGGGUGCGCAGGCGGUCUUGUAAGUCAGAUGUGAAAUCCCCGGGCUUAACCUGGGAACUGCGUUGAAACUACAAGGCUAG